CGAACGCUGGCGGCGUGCUUAACACAUGCAAGUCGGAUGCGAACCGCUCCUUCGGGGGGGUAGUAGCAUGGCAGACGGGUGAGGAGCGCGUACCUGACCGGACACAGGCAGGGGGAUAGUCCUUCGAAAGGAGGUUGAAUACCGCAUGUGCUCAGGGGUGUCAUGUUCCUGAGCAAAGGUGGCCUCUGCGUGCAAGCUGUCGGCCUGUGACGGGGGUGCGUCCUAUUAGCUAGCUGGUGGGGUAAUGGCCUACCAGGGCGACGAUGGGUAGCUGGUCUGAGAGGAUGAUCAGCCACACUGGGACUGCGACACGGCCCAGACUCCUACGGGAGGCAGCAGUGGGGAAUUUUGCGCAAUGGACGCAAGUCUGACGCAGCAACGCCGCGUGCGUGAUGACGCCUUUCGGGGUGUAAAGCGCUGUCGAGCGGGACGAAGACCUUCGUAUGAACAGUAGGGAGGGAUGACGGUACCGCUGGAGGAAGCCCCGGCUAACUCC
rnacentral:rRNA from 1 species